rnacentral:rRNA from 1 species
GUAGGUGGCAAGCGUUGUCCGGAAUUAUUGGGCGUAAAGCGCGCGCAGGGCGGUCCUUUAAGUCUGAUGUGAAAGCCCACGGCUCAACCGUGGAGGGUCAUUGGAAACUGGGGGACUUGAGUACAGAAGAGGAAAGCGGAAUUCCAAGUGUAGCGGUGAAAUGCGUAGAGAUUUGGAGGAACACCAGUGGCGAAGGCGGCUUUCUGGUCUGUAACUGACGCUGAGGCGCGAAAGCGUGGGGAGCAAACAGGAUUAGAUACCCUGGUAGUCCACGCCGUAAACGAUGAGUGCUAAGUGUUAGGGGGGUUUCCGCCCCUUAGUGCUGCAGCUAACGCAUUAAGCACUCCGCCUGGGGAGUACGGCCGCAAAGGCUG